UUUUAUGCAUAAGCAAAGAAAGUGGCUUCUUGAGAUGGAAUCUAUUCCUGGUGAAGAUGCUGUGAA
rnacentral:pre_miRNA from 1 species